UUGAAACACCUGUUCCUUUAUGAUCACCAAAGUUAAACAAUGUCAAGCCUGGUUAGUACCUAGAUGGGUAACCACUUGGGAUGUGCAGAUGGUGUA